rnacentral:rRNA from 1 species
GAUGAACGCUGGCGGCGUGCUUAACACAUGCAAGUCGAACGGUGAAGCAGGAGCUUGCUCCUGUGGAUCAGUGGCGAACGGGUGAGUAACACGUGAGCAAUCUGCCCUGGACUCUGGGUUAAGCGUUGGAAACGACGUCUAAUACCGGAGACGAGGCGUGGGGGCAUCCUCAACGCCUGGAAAGAAUUUCGGUCCAGGAUGAGCUCGCGGCCUAUCAGGUAGUGGGUGAGGGAAUGGCUGACCAAGCCUACGACGGGUAGCCGGCCCGAGAGGGUGACCGGCCACACUGGGACUGAGACACGGCCCAGACUCCUACGGGAGGCAGCAGUGGGGAAUAUUGCACAAUGGGCGCAAGCCUGAUGCAGCAACGCCGCGUGAGGGACGACGGCCUUCGGGUUGUAAACCUCUUUUAGCAGGGAAGAAGCGAAAGUGACGGUACCUGCAGAAAAAGCACCGGCUAACUACGUGCCAGCAGCCGCCGUAAUAC